CUGACACAGUAAGGAGAAACUGCUCAGAAGAUGGCUCUCCUUGGCCGCUACAACCUUCCUAAAGGCAGAACCGUGUCUUCUCAUUCCCUGGCAUCUAGCAUAUAACCUGGAACAUUGUUAAAAUUCAGUGAUGAUGAAUGAAGUUGUGGAGUUUCUGAAGAAGUUAUGUUAAAUGUUUGAAAGAUGUCAGAAGAAAUAAGCUUACAACAAUUUUUUUGUAAUCUUGAAAAAAUAUUUUCCUGACAAGUGAAAAAAAGGUACAUUUAUUUUCCUUACUUUCUCUGCAGGUUUUUGACGAGACUAUACAAUGUUCCUACUGUUCAUCUCUCUCUCUCUCUCUCUCUCUCUCUCUCUCUCUC
rnacentral:lncRNA from 1 species